GACGAACGCUGGCGGCGUGCUUUAUACAUGCAAGUCGAACGAUGAAGUUCCUUCGGGAAUGGAUUAGUGGCGAACGGGUGAGGAACACGUGAGAAACCUGCCUUUCAUUUUGGGAUAACACCGGGAAACCGGUGCUAAUACCGGAUACUCCGUCUUGGCGGCAUCGCCGAGCCGGGAAAAAAUUUUGAUGAAAGAUGGUAUCGCGGCCUAUCAGCUAGUUGUGGAGGUAAAGGCUCACCAAGGCGACGACGGGUGGCCGGCCUGAGAGGGCGACCGGCCACACUGGGACUGAGACACGGCCCAGACUCCUACGGGAGGCAGCAGUAGGGAAUAUUGGGCAAUGGGCGCAAGCCUGACCCAGCGACGCCGCGUGAGGGAUGAAGGUCUUCGGAUUGUAAACCUCUUUCAGUAGGGAAGAAGCGAAAGUGACGGUACCUAAAGAAGAAGCACCGGCUAACUAUGUGCCAGCCGCCGCAGUAA
rnacentral:rRNA from 1 species